AUACGGAGGAUCCAAGCGUUAUCCGGAUUUAUUGGGUUUAAAGGGUGCGCAGGCGGCCAUUUAAGUCAGCGGUUAAAUCGUGGGGCUCAACCCCAUUCUGCCGUUGAUACUGGGUGGCUUGAUUGCGGUCGAGGUUGGCGGAAUUCGUUGUGUAGCGGUGAAAUGCAUAGAUAUGACGAAGAACACCGAUUGCGUAGGCAGCUGACCAGAUCGCAAAUGACGCUCAUGCACGAAAGUGCGGGGGUCGAACAGGAUUAGAUACCCUGGUAGUCCGCACAGUAAACGAUGAAUACUUGUUUUCGGCGAUAUAAUGUCGGAGGCAAAGCGAAAGCGAUAAGUAUUCCACCUGGGGAGUACGUCGGCAACGGUGAAACUUAAAGGAAUUGACGGG
rnacentral:rRNA from 1 species